rnacentral:rRNA from 1 species
UACGUAGGGUGCAAGCGUUGUCCGGAAUUAUUGGGCGUAAAGAGCUCGUAGGCGGCUUGUCGCGUCUGCUGUGAAAUCCCGGGGCUCAACCCCGGGCCUGCAGUGGGUACGGGCAAGCUAGAGUGCGGUAGGGGAGAUUGGAAUUCCUGGUGUAGCGGUGGAAUGCGCAGAUAUCAGGAGGAACACCGAUGGCGAAGGCAGAUCUCUGGGCCGCUACUGACGCUGAGGAGCGAAAGCAUGGGGAGCGAACAGG